rnacentral:rRNA from 1 species
AACGAACGCUGGCGGCAUGCCUAACACAUGCAAGUCGAACGAUGCUUUCGGGCAUAGUGGCGCACGGGUGCGUAACGCGUGGGAAUCUGCCCUUUGGUUCGGAAUAACAGUUAGAAAUGACUGCUAAUACCGGAUGAUGACGUCAAGUCCAAAGAUUUAUCGCCAGAGGAUGAGCCCGCGUAGGAUUAGCUGGUUGGUGUGGUAAAGGCGCACCAAGGCGACGAUCCUUAGCUGGUCUGAGAGGAUGAUCAGCCACACUGGGACUGAGACACGGCCCAGACUCCUACGGGAGGCAGCAGUGGGGAAUAUUGGACAAUGGGCGCAAGCCUGAUCCAGCAAUGCCGCGUGAGUGAUGAAGGCCUUAGGGUUGUAAAGCUCUUUUACCCGGGAUGAUAAUGACAGUACCGGGAGAAUAAGCCCCGGCUAACUCC